CUCCAGACCUGCAAAAUCCAGACCAGCCUCCGACACUCCACUAUUACCUUUACAUGAUGGUAUCAUCUAAGGCGGAUAAUGUGGCCCCCUCCCACAGCAUCUUUGGGAGUGCUCCCAGCAAGAAAUAUCAUGUGUCAAGCAUUUGAAAUUCCAAAGAAGCAUAUAUGAAGGCUGCUCUUUACUCUGACGAAUGAUGGGACACUUUUGUAGAAUGCGCUAGAUCACCUCAUUCCUCAGAAGGACAGCUGGAAAAGGAAAAUGAACAUGCAGAAGUCGACGGUGUUUCCAAACCUUGGCUUUCCUACAGAAGGGACAAGCAUGGAGCCUGUCAUACUCUCGUAUACUAGAGAGCUGCUGGAAAUCCUGGGCCAGGCACACAGAUCCCCAAGAGGUUUUUUAAAAAAAAAAUGAAAGGAGCCAAAUGGAGGCUACAGAGUAAAAUGGAUGCUGCAUUCUUCAGUGCUAAUUCUGGGUUGGGGAGGUGGUCUGGCCGCCUGACCACAGAGUAUAACUCAAUAAGGGGAGGAUGAAAAGGUACUAAGAAAGAGAGAGAGGAAGCACUGUGCCAGGUAACAUACGAUGCGGUCCAAGCCUACACAGCGGACUCAAUAUGCCAAUGAAUUAGUAACAAUUUCCGAUUACAGCAAAUAGCCCUGUAUAGAACAGGGAACCUAAGACAACUGAUCCUGGCUUGCAGUGACUGGAAGCUGUUGCCGAUACAGUUGCAUUAGUCAGCCUCAAGACAUUAGAGAUCAAUCAGUUUUGGUAAGAAAGUCCAGGGCAUUCAUUUUAACCAUUUUGGUUUUGCUACUGGUCAGCUUGUUCAUUCUGAUGAUCUAACUCUAUGGUAAAUAACUUAAAAUGCAGUGUGUUUAACUUCCUUCCAAAAGCAAAACGCAGGAUGGCUAGUGUGGCCUCUCUCAAAGAAAGAAUUUUACAAGCACAGAUUAGAGACCAGUUUUACAGACGCCUUUCUUGUGCUCGGAGGGUUGGCUGCUGCUGCUGCUACAAGAAAAGGUCUUUUAUUGCAAUCACAGCAGAAAUGUAAACAUUUGAAAUAAAGCUAAACAAGAGUUUAGUUGUUGAGGAAAGGGACGGUCAUCCGUCAGCAUUUGGCAAACAAACUAUUCUUAAGAGUGGUUUUCUGCAACUCUGACCUUACAUCCAGCAAGCAGAUCAAAUAUUUUAACCUCAAUCCUUUUUUAACCCAAUGCUCACAGCUUCUUACAGUACCUCUUGCUGGCUGGAAUACAGAGCACCAUUGACAGUUGCCUCUGGAAGCCUUGUGAAAUUUGUUCUCCAGCUGGAUGGUAGGAACAAGAAACCUAAGUGCCAAAUCCUGAUCCCAUUGGAGUUUGCUACUGGGGGAGAUUUUUCCAAGGCAAAGGGUUAUUAGUUACCCAAUUCUCAUUGGAAAAAAAAAUCUAUACAAGUAGGAUGCCUAACUCCUUGUCAUGCCUUUGAAAAAUCUACCCUUAUGGCUUCAAUGGCCCUAAGUGUGAAAUCCUACAAUUAUAAGGCCAGUUUUAUACCAAGGUGUGUGCUGACAGGUCCCAGAGACUCCAGUGGAGUUCUGUGUGGAACUUGGCCCAUGCAAAAAUUGGCUCAUAGAGAGGGCCAUAAGUCCAGGUUUGCCCCAAGUUUUAAACAUUUUCAGGGCUGCUUCUCUUCUACCAAAUUCUUCUCUUACCUCAAUGUGUGUUUGCAAUGUGCUUAGCUGGCUGUGGGAGUGGCUUGCAGACCCAAUCACAUUAUGCAUGUGGUUCAGAUUCAACCAAUAGCUAGUCUCACAACUCUACAAAUCUCAACCGUGUUUUGAUAUUUCAAACAUUCGUACACCUGAACCUUUUUGAUUGCUUUCUGUGUCUAUGUUCUUAAAACCAAGUACACGCCCCUAAUACUUGAGCAGAGGUGUUUGAUUGUUAUGUUUGCUCUUAGCAAUCUGUGACUGACACACACGUGCAUGCAUGCACACACAAAUCUGACAAUUUUCUUCUCUUUUUUGAAUCAUGCCAGGCUUACAUGCAGAAAGAAAAAAAAGCAGCCAGGUGACUAGAAAACCAUUCUAAAAUGAAUAUAGAAAAAAUAUUUGCAUGAGUCAGUUAAACUUUAAAUCGUUCAGCACUGGAAGCCUGCCUAGCUGAGGU